AACGAACGCUGGCGGCAGGCUUAACACAUGCAAGUCGAACGCCCCGCAAGGGGAGUGGCAGACGGGUGAGUAACGCGUGGGAACAUACCCUUUUCCACGGAAUAGCUCUGGGAAACUGGAAUUAAUACCGUAUACGCCCUACGGGGGAAAGAUUUAUCGGGGAAGGAUUGGCUCGCGUUGGAUUAGCUAGUUGGUGGGGUAAAGGCCUACCAAGGCGACGAUCCAUAGCUGGUCUGAGAGGAUGAUCAGCCACAUUGGGACUGAGACACGGCCCAAACUCCUACGGGAGGCAGCAGUGGGGAAUAUUGGACAAUGGGCGCAAGCCUGAUCCAGCCAUGCCGCGUGAGUGAUGAAGGCCUUAGGGUUGUAAAGCUCUUUCACCGAUGAAGAUAAUGACGGUAGUCGGAGAAGAAGCCCCGGCUAACUCCGUGCCAGCCGCCGCAGUAACAC
rnacentral:rRNA from 1 species